CUCUGUUUCACAAUGUAAGUCAUUCUAGCAUUUCCCAUAUUCAUAUUGAUGUUAAUGAAUCUAGAUAGAUAUAUAUGUCUAGAUUCAUUAACAUCAAUAUGAAUGUGGGAAAUGCUAGAAUGACUUAUAUUGUGAAACGG
rnacentral:misc_RNA from 1 species